GGAACUGCAUUUGAAACUGGUUGACUAGAGUUUUGUAGAGGGUGGUAGAAUUUCAGGUGUAGCGGUGAAAUGCGUAGAGAUCUGAAGGAAUACCAGUGGCGAAGGCGGCCACCUGGACAAAGACUGACACUGAGGCGCGAAGGCGUGGGGAGCAAACGGGAUUAGAUACCCCGGUAGUCCACGCAGUAAACGAUGUCUAUUAGAAGUUUGUGGCUAUAUGCCGUGGGUUUCAAAGCUAACGCAUUAAAUAGACCGCCUGGGGAGUACGGCCGCAAGGUUAAAACUCAAAUGAAUUGACGGGGGCCCGCACAAGCGGUGGAGCAUGUGGUUUAAUUCGAUGCAACGCGAAGAACCUUACCAUCCCUUGACAUCCAGAGAAUCACCUAGAGAUAGAUGAGUGCCUUCGGGAACUCUGAGACAGGUGCUGCAUGGCUGUCGUCAGCUCGUGUUGUGAAAUGUUGGGUUAAGUCCCGCAACGAGCGCAACCCUUAUCCUUAGUUGCCAGCACGUAAUGGUGGGAACUCUAGGGAGACUGCCGGUGAUAAACCGGAGGAAGGUGGGGACGACGUCAAGUCAUCAUGGCCCUUACGGGAUGGGCUACACACGUGCUACAAUGGCAAAUACAAAGGGUUGCUAACCUGCGAGGGUAUGCGAAUCUCAUAAAGUUUGUCGUAGUCCGGAUCGGAGUCUGCAACUCGACUCCGUGAAGUUGGAAUCGCUAGUAAUCGUGGAUCAGAAUGCCACGGUGAAUACGUUCCCGGGCCUUGUACACACCGCCCGUCACACCAUGGGAGUGGGCUGCACCAGAAGUCAUUAGCUUAACCUUCGGGAUGGCGAUGACCACGGUGUGGUUCAUGACUGGGGUGAA
rnacentral:rRNA from 1 species